AAAUUGAAGAGUUUGAUCAUGGCUCAGAUUGAACGCUGGCGGCAGGCCUAACACAUGCAAGUCGAACGGUAACAGGAAGAAGCUUGCUUCUUUGCUGACGAGUGGCGGACGGGUGAGUAAUGUCUGGGAAACUGCCUGAUGGAGGGGGAUAACUACUGGAAACGGUAGCUAAUACCGCAUAAUGUCGCAAGACCAAAGAGGGGGACCUUCGGGCCU
rnacentral:rRNA from 1 species